rnacentral:rRNA from 1 species
CCUACGGGUGGCAGCAGUGAGGAAUAUUGGUCAAUGGGCGCGAGCCUGAACCAGCCAAGUCGCGUGAGGGAAGACGGUCCUAUGGAUUGUAAACAUCUUUUGUCGGGGAGCAAAAGACGCCACGCGUGGCGUUCCGAGAGUACCCGAAGAAAAAGCAUCGGCAAACUCCGUGCCAGCAGCCGCGGUAAUACGGAGGAUGCGAGCGUUAUCCGGAUUUAUUGGGUUUAAAGGGUGCGCAGGCGGAAGAUCAAGUCAGCGGGAAAAUUGAGAGGCUCAACCUCGUCGAGCCGUUGAAACUGGUUUUCUUGAGUGAGCUAGAAGUAUGCGGAAUUCGUGGUGUAGCGGUGAAAUGCAUAGAUAUCACGCAGAACUCCGAUUGCGAAGGCAGCAUACCGGCGCUCAUCUGACGCUGAGGCACGAAAGCGUGGGUAUCGAACAGGAUUAGAUACCCCUGUAGUC